AAUAGUCAGAGCCCGUUAACGGGUGAUGGCGUGCCUUUUGUAGAAUGAACCGGCGAGUUACGAUCCCGUGCGAGGUUAAGCUGAAGAGGCGGAGCCGCAGCGAAAGCGAGUCUGAAUAGGGCGUUUAGUACGUGGUCGUAGACCCGAAACCAGGUGAUCUACCCAUGUCCAGGGUGAAGUUCAGGUAACACUGAAUGGAGGCCCGAACCCACGCACGUUGAAAAGUGCGGGGAUGAGGUGUGGGUAGCGGAGAAAUUCCAAUCGAACCUGGAGAUAGCUGGUUCUCCCCGAAAUAGCUUUAGGGCUAGCCUUAAGUGUAAGAGUCUUGGAGGUAGAGCACUGAUUGGACUAGGGGUCCUCAUCGGAUUACCGAAUUCAGUCAAACUCCGAAUGCCAAUGACUUAUCCUUAGGAGUCAGACUGCGAGUGAUAAGAUCCGUAGUCAAAAGGGAAACAGCCCAGACCGCCAGCUAAGGUCCCAAAGUGUGUAUUAAGUGGAAAAGGAUGUGGAGUUGCUUAGACAACUAGGAUGUUGGCUUAGAAGCAGCCACCAUUUAAAGAGUGCGUAAUAGCUCACUAGUCGAGUGACUCUGCGCCGAAAAUGUACCGGGGCUAAAUACACCACCGAAGCUGCGGAUUGAUACCAAUGGUAUCAGUGGUAGGGGAGCGUUCUAAGGACAGUGAAGUCAGACCGGAAGGACUGGUGGAGUGCUUAGAAGUGAGAAUGCCGGUAUGAGUAGCGAAAGACGGGUGAGAAUCCCGUCCACCGAAUGCCUAAGGUUUCCUGAGGAAGGCUCGUCCGCUCAGGGUUAGUCAGGACCUAAGCCGAGGCCGACAGGCGUAGGCGAUGGACAACAGGUUGAUAUUCCUGUACCACCUCUUUAUCGUUUGAGCAAUGGAGGGACGCAGAAGGAUAGAAGAAGCGUGCGAUUGGUUGUGCACGUCCAAGCAGUUAGGCUGAUAAGUAGGCAAAUCCGCUUAUCGUGAAGGCUGAGCUGUGAUGGGGAAGCUCCUUAUGGAGCGAAGUCUUUGAUUCCCCGCUGCCAAGAAAAGCUUUCUAGCGAGAUAAAAGGUGCCUGUACCGCAAACCGACACAGGUAGGCGAGGAGAGAAUCCUAAGGUGUGCGAGAGAACUCCUGGUUAAGGAACUCGGCAAAAUGACCCCGUAACUUCGGGAGAAGGGGUGCUUUCUUAACGGAAAGCCGCAGUGAAUAGGCCCAAGCGACUGUUUAGCAAAAACACAGCUCUCUGCGAAGCCGUAAGGCGAAGUAUAGGGGGUGACACCUGCCCGGUGCUGGAAGGUUAAGGAGAGGGGUUAGCGUAAGCGAAAGCUCUGAACUGAAGCCCCAGUAAACGGCGGCCGUAACUAUAACGGUCCUAAGGUAGCGAAAUUCCUUGUCGGGUAAGUUCCGACCCGCACGAAAGGUGUAACGAUUUGGGCACUGUCUCAACCAGAGACUCGGUGAAAUUAUAGUACCUGUGAAGAUGCAGGUUACCCGCGACAGGACGGAAAGACCCCGUGGAGCUUUACUGUAGCCUGAUAUUGAAUUUUGGUACAGUUUGUACAGGAUAGGCGGGAGCCUUUGAAACCGGAGCGCUAGCUUCGGUGGAGGCGCUGGUGGGAUACCGCCCUGACUGUAUUGAAAUUCUAACCUACGGGUCUUAUCGACCCGGGAGACAGUGUCAGGUGGGCAGUUUGACUGGGGCGGUCGCCUCCUAAAGUGUAACGGAGGCGCCCAAAGGUUCCCUCAGAAUGGUUGGAAAUCAUUCGUAGAGUGCAAAGGCAUAAGGGAGCUUGACUGCGAGACCUACAAGUCGAGCAGGGACGAAAGUCGGGCUUAGUGAUCCGGUGGUUCCGCAUGGAAGGGCCAUCGCUCAACGGAUAAAAGCUACCCCGGGGAUAACAGGCUUAUCUCCCCCAAGAGUCCACAUCGACGGGGAGGUUUGGCACCUCGAUGUCGGCUCAUCGCAUCCUGGGGCUGUAGUCGGCCAAGGGUUGGGCUGUUCGCCCAUUAAAGCGGUACGCGAGCUGGGUUCAGAACGUCGUGAGACAGUUCGGUCCCUAUCCGUCGUGGGCGUAGGAAAUUUGAGAGGAGCUGUCCUUAGUACGAGAGGACCGGGAUGGACGCACCGCUGGUGUACCAGUUGUUCUGCCAAGGGCAUAGCUGGGUAGCUAUGUGCGGAAGGGAUAAGUGCUGAAAGCAUCUAAGCAUGAAGCCCCCCUCAAGAUGAGAUUUCCCAUAGCGUAAGCUAGUAAGAUCCCUGAAAGAUGAUCAGGUUGAUAGGUUCGAGGUGGAAGCAUGGUGACAUGUGGAGCUGACGAAUACUAAUAGAUCGAGGACUUAACCAUAUAAUAUGUA
rnacentral:rRNA from 1 species